rnacentral:rRNA from 1 species
CCUACGGGCGGCAGCAGUGAGGAAUAUUGGUCACUGGGCGGGAGCCUGAACCAGCCAAGCCGCGUGAGGGAAGAAGGUACAGCGUAUCGUAAACCUCUUUUGUCAGGGAACAAAGGCGGGGACUAGUCCCCGGAUGAGGGUACCUGAAGAAAAAGCAUCGGCUAACUCCGUGCCAGCAGCCGCGGUAAUACGGAGGAUGCGAGCGUUAUCCGGAUUUAUGGGGUUUAAAGGGUGCGCAGGCGGCCUGUUAAGUCAGCGGUAAAAGUCCGGGGCUCAACCCCGGCGAGCCGUUGAAACUGGCGGGCUGGAGUGGGAGAGAAGUACGCGGAAGGCGCGGUGUAGCGGUGAAAUGCUUAGAUAUCGGGCAGAACCCCGAGUGCGAAGGCAGCGUACCGGCUCCACACUGACGCUGAGGCACGAAAGCGUGGGUAUCGAACAGGAUUAGAUACCCCAGUAGUC